rnacentral:rRNA from 1 species
AAUAUUGCACAAUGGGCGCAAGCCUGAUGCAGCCAUGCCGCGUGUGUGAAGAAGGCCUUCGGGUUGUAAAGCACUUUCAGUCGUGAGGAAGGCGGGUACGUUAAUAGCGUAUUCGUUUGACGUUAGCGACAGAAGAAGCACCGGCUAACUCCGUGCCAGCAGCCGCGGUAAUACGGAGGGUGCGAGCGUUAAUCGGAAUUACUGGGCGUAAAGCGCAUGCAGGUGGUUUGUUAAGUCAGAUGUGAAAGCCCCGGGGCUCAACCUCGGAAUAGCAUUUGAAACUGGCAGACUAGAGUACUGUAGAGGGGGUAGAAUUUCAGGUGUAGCGGUGAAAUGCGUAGAGAUCUGAAGGAAUACCGGUGGCGAAGGCGGCCCCCCUGGACAGAUACUGACACUCAGAUGCGAAAGCGUGGGGAGCAAACAGGAUUAGAUACCCUGGUAG